UCCCUUUUUGUCAUGUAUUAGCUUUGCAAGUUGGCUUUCACGCGCUGAUCCGCGUCGUUGACACUCAAUUGGUAGAGUCCGAUGUCCUUCGCUUGGCGAGUCGGUAGCUAAAGGCCGCUGGUUGAUACAAAAAUAAGGGAGCCAUGGUGAAUCCUGCAGCCCGCCGAUACUGGGUACAUUUAUUUGUUCCCAUGGGCUUUGUGAUUGGCUGGUACCUUGAUAAACUACAAGACCAAAAGCUGACAGCUUUUAGAAACAAGAGUGCAUUGUUUGGAAGGGAGCUAAAGCCUGGCGAGGAGGUGACCUGGAGGUAGAAGCUUCCCGCCUGGAAAAUCAUCCUCUCAGCUGUGGUGUAAAUGAUAAAUAAGAAGAGUCAUGUGACUCCCUUGUCACGUCCUUUGAGUUGUAUCAACCAAUAAUAAAUAUGGUCUCUCAAAAUGUUGAA